UUUCCAGUCUGGUAGAAAAGCCUUGUGGAGGAGAAAGAACUCUCUUUUCCGUUCCUGAGGUGAGGAGAUUAGCAAUGUUUUAAUUCCGCUGUAGCGCGCCUCUAGGCCUCACCAUGCCGUGGAGUCCUGGCGGCGCUGGGAGGAUGUCUCUCUGGGGACGGGGCUCUUUUGGACCGUGGCUGCAACCUCCGUGAGGCCCGGAAUUGGCAAGAAACUGAAUCCAGUGCAUUCUAUUCCUCCCAGAAUUUGUGGAAAUCCUUAUGUGUAAGCUGUAAUGUUUUAAGAUCUUGUGUCUUGCACUAAAAGAAGUAUUAAAACUGUUAAAGCGGUAAUGGUCAGGCUGUUUUACAAGGGCAGUUAUUCUUAGGAGCUUCAUAAAUUUGGUCUCCAAAGAAGUUGCUUAAUUUUAACUGUUCCUGUUGAAUUCCACAAGUAAUCCAAUGGAAGAUUUGGGUGAUAAAUGGUUGUUUUGGAGUUGGCAGCUGUAACUAUUCCCUAUUUGGUAUAGGGUAUGUUUUUUAUUAAAAUGGGAUUUUAAAACAAA